AUUGAACGCUGGCGGCAUGCCUUACACAUGCAAGUCGAACGGUAACAGCACUUGGGUGUCCGCCGAGUGGCGGCCGGGGGCGUACUACAUCGGAACGUGCCUAGUAGUGGGGGAUCACUACUCGUAAGAGUAGCUAAUACCGCAUAAGAUCUAAGGAUGAAAGCAGGGGACCUCCGGGCCUUGCGCUACUAGAGCGGCUGAUGGCAGAUUAGGUAGUUGGUGGGAUAAAAGCCUACCAAGCCGACGAUCUGUAGCUGGUCUGAGAGGAUGACCAGCCACACUGGAACUGAGACACGGUCCAGACUCCUACGGGAGGCAGCAGUGGGGAAUUUUGGACAAUGGGCGCAAGCCUGAUCCAGCAAUGCCGCGUGCAUGAUGAAGGCCUUCGGGUUGUAAACUGCUUUUGUACGGAAAGAAAAGCCGUCUGCUAAUACCGGGGGGUCAUGACGGUACCGUAAGAAUAAGCACCGGCUAACUACGUG
rnacentral:rRNA from 1 species